GACGAACGCUGGCGGCGUGCCUAAUACAUGCAAGUCGAACGCUUCUUACUUAUCGAACUUCGGUUCACCAAGUAAGAAGAGUGGCGAACGGGUGAGUAACACGUGGGUAACCUGCCCAUCAGCGGGGGAUAACACUUGGAAACAGGUGCUAAUACAGCAUAAUUCUUUUUGUCGCAUGAUAGAAAGAUGAAAGGCGCUUUUGCGUCACUGAUGGAUGGACCCGGGGUGCAUUAGCUAGUUGGUAGUGUAAUGGCGUACAAAGGCAACGAUGCAUAGCAGACAUGAGAGGGUGAUCGGCCACACUGGGACUGAGACACGGCCCAGACUCCUACGGGAGGCAGCAGUAGGGAAUCUUCGGCAAUGGACGAAAGUCUGACCGAGCAACGCCGCGUGAGUGAAGAAGGUAUUCGGAUCGUAAAACUCUGUUGUUAGAGAAGAACAAGGAUGAGAGUAAAAUGUUCAUCCCUUGACGGUAUCUAACCAGAAAGCCACGGCUAACUACGUGCCAGCCGCCGCGGUAA
rnacentral:rRNA from 1 species